UGCAACCUGGUGCGGCUUAGCAAGCCCCACCUGGCGGGCUCCGCUCCGCUCCGCAGGUGUCUUCAACCUCUUCCUCGGGCUGCCGCCCCACUCUCGCGAGAGAAAAGCGUUGUGAGGCUCACGCUCCGAUUUCCGCUUGCCGCGUCCCGGAAGGCUAUUCGCGCAGAGGGCGGGCGCCUUUGCUGUGCGGUUGACACUCGUUCUCCGUGUUGCAGGCCGUGCAAGACACGCUCGGAGGCUUGACGGGUUUGGGCACCUCCUUUGCGGCCGGCUUGUGCGCCCUUGGGGCCCCGUGGAGCAAAAGGCGUGGGGCUGUGGCUCGCACGCGGGUGUUAGGCCAGGUGCUUGUGGUCCCUUUGUUUCCUCCCUGGGGGAGGUGGAGGGGCCAAAUACACGACCUCGUGUAUCUUGAAAGGGAUUGGGGGCUGCAAGGUCACCCCAGGCCAGUCUGCUGGCAGCCCCACUCCCACCGGCACAGAGCAGAGCGAUUGGGGCCACCAGCAAGCGGUGCGAGUGGCAGCUACUGCCCCAGUUGCCCCGCAGGAGCGAGCAGGAGGAGGUGGAGAAACCCUCAGGAGCACCGGGGCCAGCGGCCGGCACUGGCAGCGGGGGCGAAUGACAGAGACCAGCACCCCAAGCUGGGCGGGUGCCCCUGAGUACCAAGCCAACAAGCCAAGAGACUGACUGGGCGUGCAGGCCCACGGCCCACGGGGAAGGAGAAGGAGAAGGCUUACGGAAUUUCAGGACAUCUGCUCCCCCCCCCCCCAACCUCAGGAACCAUGGUGACUCCGAUGCAUGAGCACGUGUGUUUGAUGCUGCUGCUAUGGAAACGGUAGCAUCGGGUCUGAUGGGUGAGAAGGCCACCCUUUCAGAGGCAAGGAUUGUGAAAACCAAUGAGCGCCUGGUGAUGAAUCAGAAUAGAGGGAGUGGGAAGACCUAACCGACCCACAC